rnacentral:lncRNA from 1 species
UUGAAAAAUGUCUUGUGUUAUGUAGGCGUGUGAGUUCAGCUGGGGUACCAGAUGUUGAAGAACUACCGGGUGCUAGCGAUGAUACCACGCUACAAGUGACCCGGGUGUGCCAUCGACCGAAGAAUGAAGAAUUUCGAAUGUAUACGUCUGAAUUCUUACUAAGAGUGCUUUACACACUUCUCUCUACAAAGUUUGAUAUGAAAAACAAAGA